rnacentral:rRNA from 1 species
UCUUCAGCAGCCGCGGUAAUACGGAGGGUGCAAGCGUUAAUCGGAAUUACUGGGCGUAAAGCGCACGCAGGCGGUCUGUCAAGUCGGAUGUGAAAUCCCCGGGCUCAACCUGGGAACUGCAUUCGAAACUGGCAGGCUGGAGUCUUGUAGAGGGGGGUAGAAUUCCAGGUGUAGCGGUGAAAUGCGUAGAGAUCUGGAGGAAUACCGGUGGCGAAGGCGGCCCCCUGGACAAAGACUGACGGUCAGGUGCGAAAGCGUGGGGAGCAAACAGGAUUAGAUCCCCUGGUAGUCCACGCUGUAAACGAUGUCGACUUGGAGGUUGUUCCCUUGAGGAGUGGCUUUCCGGAGCUAACGCGU